rnacentral:rRNA from 1 species
UACGUAGGGUGCAAGCGUUGUCCGGAAUUAUUGGGCGUAAAGAGCUCGUAGGCGGCCAGUUGCGUCCGCUGUGAAAGCCCGGGGCUUAACCCCGGGUCGGCAGUGGAUACGGGCAGGCUAGAGGUAGGUAGGGGAGAAUGGAAUUCCCGGUGUAGCGGUGAAAUGCGCAGAUAUCGGGAGGAACACCGGUGGCGAAGGCGGUUCUCUGGGCCUUACCUGACGCUGAGGAGCGAAAGCGUGGGGGAGCGAACAGG